rnacentral:lncRNA from 1 species
UGGGCCCCUUAGAUCCAGUGAAGGAAAAUCUUAACGCUACAGCAUACAAUGACAUUCUAGACGAUUCUGUGUUUCCAACUUUGUGGCAACAGUUUGAGGAAGGCCCUUUCCUGUUUCAGCAUGACAAUGCCCCCGUGCACAAGCGAGGUCCAUACAGAAAUGGUUUGUCGAGAUCGGUGCGGAAGAACUUGACUGGCCUGCACAGAGCCCCGACCUCAACCCCAUCGAACACCUUUGGGAUGAAUUGGAACGCCGACUGCGGGCCAGACCUAAUCGCCCAACAGUGCCCGAUUUCACUAAUGCUCUUGUGGCUGAAUGAAGCAAGUCCCCGCAGAAAUGUUCCAACAUCUAGUGGAAAGCCUCCCCAGAAGAGCGGCGGCUGUUAUAGCAGCAAAGGGGGGGACCAGCUCCAUAUUAAUGCCCAUGAUUUUGGAAUGAGAUGUUUGACGAGCAGGUGUCCACAUACUUUUGGUCAUGUAGUGUAGUUUGUCAUAAGAAGGUGACAGUUGUCGUAUUCCUUGACUGUCUGUGGUGUAACUCCUUCCAAACCCACCUAUCAAGAGGUGCUGACUGAUGUGGAGGAGAGGAGCCACAAAAGGCAACAGGAAUACAACACGUUCUGCCAGCAGACGAAAAAGGAGAUAGCUGACAUCCACAGAGAUCGACUCAUCCACAACAUGGAACUCAACAGGAUGAAGAAAGAGAUUUUCAGUGACCGAAUGGAGGUGAAGAUCGCCAGCGAGGGAAUCAUGAAUAAAUGGAACCACCCCCCGUACCGCCAGCGUCUGCAGAAGGGAGAGGGGAAAGAGAGGAAAGAGGAGUCAGAGGAGGUGAAGAAUACAAACCAACCUUCUGUUUCUCCAGAAAACCAAAAGACAGCUGGACAAUGACACUGCAACUUUCAGCACAGUGUCUCUCUCUCCCUCUCUCUCUCUCUUUCUCUUUAUGCCACUCAGAUCUACAGAACAUGAUGUCAGUGUUUUGUGCUACAUUAAUAUAUAUUUUACAUUUGUUUUCAUUGAAAUUCACCCAGAUUAUUUAAAUGCCAAUCUUCACACUUCACUAUCUAAAUCACACUGUGAUUUUUUCCCUUCAGUCUGAUCUCCCUUUCUCAGACGCUUACUUGAAACAGUGUGUGUGUGUGUGUCGGGCCAGAGCAGGGCCAGUGUGUUUUAUGACAGGCUCAUGUCCUGCCUGAGUGAAGUCAUGAAGGCUCAUCACAGAAACAUAUUACCUCUCAGAGACUCACAGCACACCAGAGAAGAGAGUGUGUGUGUGUGUGUGUGUGUGUGUGUGUGUGUGUGUGUGUGUGUGUGUGUGUGUGUGUGUGUGUGUGUGUGUGUCAGAAGAAGAAAACAAAUCUACAGUAAAAUGAAUGAUACAUACAGCAAACAAAAAAAGUUAUAAAAAAAUACAAUGCUAGAGCUUGGGACUGUAAGGUUCUAUCUGCAAAAAGAUGAUUCUGAGAUAACUGGCUUUAAAGUUCCGAAUCCUCAUUGGUUUGAAUGGUGUCAGCAAUUUUGAUAUUGUAUUAUUUUGAACUUAACAUGAAAUGGGGGUAUUUAAUGUUCUAUACAGGUAGAGAACAUUGAACAGAACAAGGCUAUGUCAAUAACUACAUUCUGACUAAAAUGCAGAUAGAACCUUCUAGUCCCAACAAUGACUUGUGAAAAGUAUUUUUUUUAGAAUUUGAGUUCUUUCCACGUUCAUCUCUUUCCUGUUUCUGAGAAGCUAUGCCAUUCUCCUCUGGUUCUGAGAAGCUGUGACAUUCUCCUCUGGUUCUGAGAAGCUGUGACGUUAUCCUCUGAUUCUGAGAAGCUGUGACAUUCUCCUCUGAUUCUGAGAAGCUGUGACAUUCACCUCUGGUUCUGAGAAGCUGUGACAUUCUCCUCUGGUUCUGAGAAGCUGUGACAUUCUCCUCUGGUUCUGAGAAGCUGUGACAUUCUCCUCUGGUUCUGAGAAGCUGUGACAUUCUCCUCUGGUUCUGAGAAGCUGUGAUAUUCUCCUCUGGUUCUGAGAAGCUAUGCCAUUCUCCUCUGGUUCUGAGAAGCUGUGACAUUCUCAUCUGGUUCUGAGAAGCUAUGACAUUCUCCUGUGGUUCUGAGAAGCUGUGACAUUCUCCUGUGGUUCUGAGAAGCUGUGACAUUCUCCUCUGGUUCUGAGAAGCUGUGACAUUCUCCUGUGGUUCUGAGAAGCUGUGACAUUCUCCUCUGGUUCUGGGAAGCUGUGACAUUCUCCUCUGGUUCUGAGAAGCUGUGACAUUCUCCGUGGUUCUGAGAAGCUGUGACAUUCUCCUCUGGUUCUGGGAAGCUGUGACAUUCUCCUCUGGUUCUGAGAAGCUGUGACGUUAUCCUCUGGUUCUGAGAAGCUGUGACAUUCUCCUCUGGUUCUGAGAAGCUGUGACGUUAUCCUCUGGUUCUGAGAAGCUGUGACAUUCUCCUCUGGUUCUGAGAAGCUGUGACAUUCUCCUCUGGUUCUGAGAAGCUGUGACAUUCUCCUGUGGUUCUGAGAAGCUGUGACAUUCUCCUCUGGUUCUGAGAAGCUGUGACAUUCUCCUCUGGUUCUGAGAAGCUGUGACAUUCUCCUCUGGUUCUGAGAAGCUGUGACAUUCUCCUGUGGUUCUGAGAAGCUGUGACAUUCUCCUGUGGUUCUGAGAAGUUGUGACAUUCUCCUGUGGUUCUGAGAAGCUGUGACAUUCUCCUGUGGUUCUGAGAAGCUGUGACAUUCUCCUGUGGUUCUGAGAAGCUGUGACAUUCUCCUGUGGUUCUGAGAAGCUGUGACAUUCUCCUCUGGUUCUGAGAAGCUGUGACAUUCUCCUGUGGUUCUGAGAAGCUGUGACAUUCUCCUGUGGUUCUGAGAAGCUGUGACAUUCUCCUCUGGUUCUGAGAAGCUGUGACAUUCUCCUGUGGUUCUGAGAAGCUGUGACAUUCUCCUCUGGUUCUGAGAAGCUGUGACAUUCUCCUCUGGUUCUGAGAAGCUGUGACAUUCUCCUCUGGUUCUCACCAUGUGAUGUGUUGACUGCCCCGUGAGAUAUCAAUAACUGUGCUUUGUCAGAAGUUUAUACUCCCCAGUGUUUCUGUUUCAGGAUCCCUAGAACACACACACACACACACUCAGAAGUCCUAUGACCGACAACCAAUUAUCAAAACUAUGGAGCAAAACAAGUAGUUUACAUCAUCUGCUUUCAACUUCGCAGCCCAAACCACCCUCACACGCACAUGCACACACACACAGCCCAAACCACCCACACACGCACACGCACAUGCACACACACACACAGCCCAAAACACCCACACACGCACACGCACAUGCACACACACACACAGCCCAAACCACGCUGGUAUUUAAAUGUUGAUUUGAGUAAUCUCUAACAUCCUCCUGUUGAUAAAUAUAGUUAUGAUUGAUGAGCUCUAUUCUGGCUGCCUGAUGGACUGGUUUGGCUAUGUGUGUGUGUGUGUGUGUGUGUGUGUGUGUGUGUGUGUGUGUGUGUGUGUGUGUGUGUGUGUGUGUGUGUGUGUGUGUGUGUGUGUGUGUGUGUGUGUGUGUGUGUGUGUGUGUGUGUGUGUGUGUGUGUGUGUGUGUGUGUGCAUGCCCUCCUUCCUCCCUCCCCUGGCCUCAGAGUGUGAGUGUCUGUUAGGAUCAGAGGUUAGACCCUCUAAGUGUUUCAUUAAAACAGUUCUCAGAACUGAAACGUCCAGCCUACCUGAGAGAGGGGAAGCUCUGUGAGAGAGAAGAGGUGUGUGUGUGUGUGUGCGUGUGAGAGAGAGAGAGAGAGAGAGAGAGGACAGAUCUGAGGUUAGAAAGGAUUCUGUGGAGGUAGAGGCACGCGGGGAGGCUGUCUGCAGGCCAGAGGAAAUAACUUUAGUAAUCGAUUGUGUCUCUCACCUCCUGUUUCAUAAGGCAAGGUGUGUGUGAUUUGUGUUUUAUACAAGACUAGGUGUGUCACUGUCAUCAGAAUAACUACAAAAGCACCGAACCACAUGGAUAAACAACAUGAAACGUGUUGUAUAGAAUUAGUUACAUGAGCACAACAACAACAACUCAACAACAACAGUCGUGGCAGUAACAACAUCUAUAGUCACACAACAACUCAACAACAGUCAUGGCAGUAACAACAUCUAUACUCACACAACAACUCAACAACAGUCAUGGCAGUAACAACAUCUAUACUCACACAACAACUCAACAACAGUCAUGGCAGUAACAACAUCUAUACUCACACAACAACUCAACAACAGUCAUGGCAGUAACAACAUCUAUAGUCACAGAACAACUCAACAACAGUCAUGGCAGUAACAACAUCUAUACUCACACAACAACUCAACAACAGUCAUGGCAGUAACAACAUCUAUACUCACACAACAACUCAACAACAUUGAGAUUCAGCAAAUAAAGAUUACGUUUCAGUUUCCGUGAAAUUACAAAUAAAUAGUAAAAAAAAUAUGUUUAUUGCAAAAAAAGCUCUCAAAUAUGAAAGUGAUUUUAAUUUCAGAGUGGGUUGCAGGCAGUUGGCCCUCUAUAAUUAUCAGUAUGGACCCCAAUGGGCCCUGGUCUAAAGUAGUGCACUAUGUAGGGGAAUAGGGGGCCAUUUGGAACACAGGUUUCUCAGCAUGCUUUUCCCAUUACGGCCCCAGCAGACAUUCUCACCACCAGAAGAUGCCAGCUGGAGAGAUGAAAACACUGUAAACAGAUAUGAGCAAAUGGAGGAAUAGCAUGCUUCUCCCAACUCCUCCCCACAGUGUUUGUUUGUGUGUGUGUGUGUGUGUGUGUGUGUGUGUGUGUGUGUGUGUGUGUGUGUGUGUGUGUGUGUGUGUGUGUGUGUGUGUGUGUGUGUGUGUGUGUGUGUGUGUGUGUGUGUGUGUGUGUGUGUUCGCAUGCAUGCAUGUGCAUGACGUGUGUGUUUUGGUUUGUGUGUUUGUAAGGGGCCAUUGCUCAAUGUGUUUCCUCUCAGUCCAUAUCUGGAGUUGCGUGAGAGGUUUCCAUAUCUCACACAGUCUUGUAAAUCACAGGCGAACAGUAGUAACUCAGGGAACCAACCCCAAACAUGCCUGGAUACAAUUACCACUGACUGGCUGAGCCAAGGCUGGGCUGAGACUGAGACCACCCCUCACACACACACACCACGCACACACACACACACACACACACACACACACACACACACACACACACACACACACACACACACACACACACACACACACACACACACACACACACACACACACAAACCCAAAAGGGAGGAUCGGACACAUCCCUGCACAGAACUGCAGGACAUUAUACACACAAAACAUACCCACACAGGAACACAGGCAUAUAGACCUGGGUUUAUUUAUACCUCUCAUAGUCUAUACAUACACUUUCUAUGUUUUUGUUGGCCAAUAUAAAGGUUUAGCGCAGAAAUUAGUUAUUUUGUUUACAAUUGAAAGAAUGUUUUAUAUCUUUUUAUAUUGUUUCAAUAUUCAAAUUCAAUCUCCAAUGUUGUUCUUCCCCUGAACAAGGCAGUUAACCUACUGUUCCUAGGGCGUCAUUGUAAAUAAAAAUGUGUUUUUAACUGACUUGCCUAGUUAAAUAAAAAAUAAAUGUGAGGGAUGGGAGUCAGGAUGAGAGAGGCAGGCAGCUUUUCUCAGUCAGUUGAAACAGCUGGCAUAAUUUGUAUGGAUAUAUACAAAGAAAGGUCUAGGUCACCAGGCUGCUCAUGAUGGCACACACCUGUCACCAUUGUUAUGCGCACCUGCGCGUCAUCACUCACCUUGACUCCAUCACUCCCCUGAUUACCUUCCCUAUAUAUGUCCCUCCCUUUGUUAACUUCCCCAGAUGUUAUUGUUUCUGUUCCUGUGUCAUGUCUGUGCGUUGUCCAUGUUUCUUAGUUUGUAUUAUGUUGUGGUUAUUAAAACACUCACUCCCUGAACUUGCUUCCCGACUCUAAGCGCACAUCGUUACAAGUUUGAAGUGAUUGUGUUAGCUGUGUUGUUGGCUAGCUCCUCUGAACAACAGUGUCCUAACGAGGGAGCACAUUUUCAAUGCCACGUGAAAUCGUGCCUCAGUAGCUCAUUGUUAUGGAUGUAUCAAAAUAAAUGUCACUAGAAAACAGCUUAAGAAAAGCAGCUACUGUUGUUAUUUUGUCUGCACUAUUUGACGUGUGUCACGGCUGUUAGAAGGAGUGGACCAAGAUGCAGCGUUUUCGUAGUUCC